AUGUCUAAAUCGGAGGAUUUAAAAACCUACAUGCUAAAUCAUGUCAUCCUCAUGCUUAAUCACACCUUAGAGCCUUGCGGACUCAAUUCAGUUACGUUUGACCCUUGCUGUAACACGAAAAACAUACAGGAACGUGAAAGAAUACAGAAGUUUGGAACUCACCGACCAGAGAAAGGCUGGUGUCUUCUUGACGAUGUCAAAGAACAGAAAUCCAGAGAAUAA